rnacentral:rRNA from 1 species
AUGAACAAGCUGGAGCUGGACGACGGCGUGGUUGCCGGCAAUGGCGACAUCGGACAGCGCCCGGCCAUGGCAACUUUCAUGCCACCAGCUGCCACUCAUGUUCCUGUUGCCUCCACCAUUGGUACUCUCAUCCAGAUAUGGUUGUUAGCGACCACGAUGGGUAAGCGAGGCGAUCGUGGUGGCGACCACGGAGCCGACCGCGGUGCCGAUCGCGUCGACAAGUUUCUGCCGGCCGCGCCUUCCCUUCGCGGUGGGAGUCGUUUCUGGGCCCUUGCGGCCUCGGACUCCGACGACUCCGAUGAGGAGGAGGCCGCCGGCGGCGGAUCUGCAGUGGCGGCGUACUCUCCGACGCCGAGUGACAAGGUGUGCGAGGUGUUGGGGGCUGGCUACUCGGAGGAGGUUGUGGCCGGCUUUGUUGAUGAGGUCGUCCCGCCGGAGGAUCCUGCUUGGGUCGGGGUGGGCAUGACGGACAAGGUGGAGGUCGUCCGGCGAGUGGCACACCGCCGGACGGCGCCGACGUCGACACGGCCUUGGAAGGGUCCUCUACCAAAGGUUAUCUUCAAGGCCACUACACUCAUCCGUAUGUGGUCGCUACUCACUCCGACGGAGGCCAGGGAGCAUUUGGUUACUGGUUCUAUCCGAUGGGAGACGGUAGCUCGGGAUAUCUUCAACCGGUUUGGAUGGCGGUCAUGUAAUAGGAUAGGUGUUUAG